rnacentral:rRNA from 1 species
UUAGUGGCGGACGGGUGAGUAACGCGUGAGCAACCUGCCCCUGUGUGUGGAAUAACGUUUGGAAACGAACGCUAAUACCGCAUAAUGCAUGGGAAUCGCAUGUUUUCCAUGCCAAAGAUUUAUUGCACAGGGAUGGGCUCGCGUCCGAUUAGAUAGUUGGUGAGGUAACGGCCCACCAAGUCGACGAUCGGUAGCCGGACUGAGAGGUUGAACGGCCACAUUGGAACUGAGAAACGGUCCAGACUCCUACGGGAGGCAGCAGUGGGGAAUAUUGGGCAAUGGGCGAAAGCCUGACCCAGCGACGCCGCGUGAAGGAAGACGGUCUUCGGAUUGUAAACUUCUUUUAUAAGGGACGAAGCAUGACGGUACCUUAUGAAUAAGCCACGGCUAACUACGUGCCAGCAGCCGCGGUAAUACGUAGGUGGCGAGCGUUAUCCGGAUUUACUGGGUGUAAAGGGUGUGUAGGCGGGAUUGCAAGUCAGAUGUGAAAACUAUGGGCUCAACUCAUAGCCUGCAUUUGAAACUGUGAUUCUUGAGGGUCGGAGAGGUAACUGGAAUUCCUGGUGUAGCGGUGAAAUGCGUAAAUAUCAAGGAGGAACACCCGUGGGGAAGGCGGGGUUACUGGACGAUUUCUGACGCUGAGACAGAAAAGCGGGGGAGCAAAACAGGAAUUAGGAUACCCUGGUAGUCCACGCUGAAAACGGAUGAAUGCUAGGUGUGGGGGGUGCAAAACUUCCGUACCGCAGUUAACACAAUAAGCAUUCCACCUGGGGAGUACGGCCGCAAGGUUGAAACUCAAAGGAAUUGACGGGAGCCCGCACAAGCAGUGGAGUAUGUGGUUUAAUUCGACGCAACGCGAAGAACCUUACCGGGGUUUGACAUCCCAAGGAUCCGGCGUAACGGCUGGAGUGCCCUUCGGGGAACUUGGAGACAGGUGGUGCAUGGUUGUCGUCAGCUCGUGUCGUGAGAUGUUGGGUUAAGUCCCGCAACGAGCGCAACCCCUACGUUUAGUUGCUACGCAAGAGCACUCUAGACGGACUGCCGUUGACAAAACGGAGGAAGGCGGGGAUGACGUCAAAUCAUCAUGCCCCUUACAUUCCGGGCUACACACGUACUACAAUGGCGAAAACAAAGGGAAGCAAUACCGCGAGGAGGAGCAAACCCCAUAAAAGUCGCCCCAGUUCGGACUGCAGGCUGCAACUCGCCUGCACGAAGUUGGAAAAAGUAGUAAUCGCGGAUCAGCAUGCCGCGGUGAA